rnacentral:rRNA from 1 species
GACGAGGGAUCCUAGCGUUGUUCGGAAUUAUUGGGCGUAAAGCGGGUGUAGGCGGACUUAUAAGUCAGGUGUGAAAUCCCAGGGCUCAACCCUGGAAGUGCACUUGAUACUGCAAGUCUUGAGUGUGGUAGAGGCUAUUAGAAUUCCUGGUGUAGUGGUGAAAUGCGUAGAUAUCAGGAGGAAUACCAGUGGCGAAGGCGACCCCCUGGGCCAAUACUGACGCUGAGGUACGAAAGCGUGGGUAGCGAACAGG